UUAAAAAAGUUAAAGCCAGACCUUCUCUCCAAAAAGGAUUGUUUCUGUCACAGCAAGAGUGAGUGCUCUUCUUCCCCCGAGACAAUCUUCGAUGUUUCGACUCUCCCGGUGCAAGCUAGCAACGCCAGAAGCCAAGUCUGGCCCCCGCCCUGCCAUUGGCUGGCACCCAGUCCAGGCUCCAGCAUACCCCCACAACGCUACUGUGACCAACACGGCCGGCAAGAUGGACGGAUGGGCUUCAGUGUACCUAACUAGGAGGUGCCAAGUAAAGCCACAAAAUGUCAAAAGAAGAAACGGGAGGCAUCGAUUCUCAAACUGUGGUACCAGUACCAGUGGUGGGACGUGGGCUCCAUCUAGUGGUACUCGGGGACACCAAGGAUGGUUUUAUUUUCCUUGUAUACAGUGUUAGAAAAGCAUGAUUAUAUGAUGUACAAUGAAGUAAUUGCACCAAUGCACAUGAAAAUUGAAAUGAGAUUUUGAGGGAAAACAAUCUCUAGGGCUGAGCUCCGAAGAAGUCAUCCCACACGGGACAUACUGUAUCUGGGACCUGUAUCUUCUCAACUCAUUGGACUGAAAAACACAGACAAGGUAACGUCAGGUGAACAUUUAUAAUCAUCCUCUUGUGCGAUAUGACAAUGAUAAUCGAUAGAAAUGAUAGACAGCAGUGGAGCCGUGGUUUGUGACAAUGAGCUGUCUUCUCUUGUGUGUUUUAUAAAACAUUUACAUAUUCUUUGUUGACACGAGUCAAGUAUUUUGUAUGCAAAAUCCAUUUCCAACAAUCUCCAGAAGGUUGUUUGCAGAGGAGCUCUGAAAUCCAU